AGUCAACAAUUCCCAAUAGGAUUCGAGUGCUUCUGUUAUCAGGCAUGAUCCCCGCAAAGUGUGCUUCUGGGUCUUGUAUUUCCGGCUUACCACAAACCAACCACCUUCUUUCUUUGCGAUUCAAAACAAAACAGGUUAGAAUGGACUCAGUCGGUCCCCAUUAUUAACAACAUCUUUUCCUUUUUUUUUUCAUUUUCUUUUUUCUUUUUUUUUCUUUUUUUUUCUUUUUUUUUCGAUUUUUCAUUUUUUCGAUGUUUUUCUCAUUUUUUUUGUUGUGGUCGAAUCUUAGGGAGAUUGCCUACGUAUCAUGACCCCGCAUGAAUCAGACCUUGCGUAGUUCGGACCAAUAAAAUAUAAACAAUACUAAACAUUUUUUUUUCAAUUUUCAUGUUAAAACAAACUGGGUUUAAGGGUUUGAAAGAUGACCAACAAACUCAAAAAUCAAACAACCCACAUAUUCUAGUCAAAAGAUUUAUAACCUCAAAACAAAAAGGCCAGCUUCCUUCCUCCGUUUGCUAAUUUUAACCAAAUGGUUGUUUUUGCAAACGUGGCCCCUUCCAACUUUCACAUGAAUUUUGAGGUCGGGAGGAUUAUUUUAUGAUACUUUACAAACUUGUCCAUUCUUUUACGAAAAUAGCCUUUCGACAACUGAAAGAUACUCUAAGGCUAUUUCGGCAAGAACGGUUUAAGACACUGCCGAAGCUGGCUCGGCUUAUUUUGACUAAAAAUCCAAACAGUAUUCACCUGACCGCUGACUCUUUUUUUUUUCUUUUCAAAUUACAAUAAAAACCUGGUAUUGCAAACACGGUCUUUCAACGUCUCGGGGAUGAAGAUUUUUAAGGCUGUGUGGGUCAACUGGACCAAAUCUUAAAUAUGACCCAAAAGUGGCUGUUUAUGCAAAGUCAGCCUUCCGGCGUCUCCUUCGGGAACAUUCGGCUAUGUCUUGAUAAAACAGCAUCACCCGACUUCUUAGAAAUUUGACAUAUAUAUUUUGCUAUUAUUUUUUUUUGUAAAAGGGGAAGUUGACAUCACCCGACUUAUUUAUGACAAAAUUAAAAAUCUUGAC
rnacentral:lncRNA from 1 species